GCGGGAUAGGGAGCGGUUACAGCGGUAGGGGCCGCCGCCUCUCUUUCCUCUCCGUCCGCCCGGCCGCGGACCGGCCCCCAGCGGCGUGACGGGUCGGGCCCGCCGUCUCGCCCCGCCUCCUGCCCCUCGCCUCACGCAAGGUGGGGGGCCGAGGCGAGAACCUGCCUGCUCGCCUGAAGGGGGAACCCCGCGGGGCGCCGGGGCGGCCGCCCCGGCGCAGAGGGAGUUAAAAGCCCAACUGCUGCUAGCAGGUGCUGCGCUCUGGCGGUUGGUGGCCGUUGGCGGCGGUCGAUUCUGGGGCUGCGCUCCGUGCUGAGUCCCGCCAGGCAAUAUUGGAAAAUCCUGCAGACCUCAGUCUCUCACUUUGAGAAAAGCUCCCCUUAUGUGUACCAUUUGUACUAUAGAUAUUACAUGCAAUUACUACAUGUAUUAUGUUUAUGAAAUGUACAAAUGUCCCUCACAUGUACAUGUAUCUUUAACACUCAUCCUCAGUUGCAAACAGUUUCAGAGGCCUCCCUUUUCCCCAUAUCUUACCAUCUACUACAACCACAUGCAGUUGCUUUCUGGUAUCAGUGCAACUCACAGUUAAAUUUGCAAGAAGAUAAACCGUAGCUGAGAAUGGCAGAGGAGGUUACCAGCCCUAACGCUACAUUGUGACACCACUUUUCUGGGUAGCUGAGACACUUUGUUGGUAAUCUGGAGAACAAGUCUUAUGAGGAGUGGCUGAGGGAACUGGGACUGUUUAUCCUAGAGAAAAGGAGGAUGAGGGGAGACCUUAUUGGUCUCUACAACUUCCUGAAAGGAGGUUGUAGCAUGGAGGGUGUUGGUCUCUUCCCCCAAGUAGCAAGUGAGAGGAUGAGAGGAAAUGGCCUUGAGUUGUGCCAGGGGAGAUUUAGAUUGGAUAUGAGGAAAAAAUUCUUCACGGAAAGGGUUGUCAGGCAUUGGAACAGGCUGCCCAGGGAAGUGGAGGAGUCACCAUCCCUGGAGGUGUUUAAAAGGUGUUUAGACAAGGUUCUUAGGGACAUGGUUUAAUGCUAGAGGUGGGUUAUGGUUGGACUUAAUGAUCCUGGGCGUGUCUUCCAACCAAAAUUAUUAUUCUAAUCUGAACCCCAUUUAGAGGCUUCUGCUGUAAACCAUUGCUGGUUUCAGUAAGAGGCAGUGAUUCCACAGCUGUCUCAUUAACAGUUUGGUCUUUUGUUUGCCAGGUGCUGGGCAGACAGCUGGGGUUGAUAAUCUGCUGUCCCAAACUACAUUGUUCCCACUUGUGAAUUACAAGCUGCUGUCUCUGCUAGCAGUGGUAGGUACUUCCAGGUAGAUCAAGCAUGAGCACCUUCUAGCUCAGGUUCCUACAGAAAGAAAAUCGGUGUGCCUGCUCUGCCACUAGUUACUUUUAAAACCCUUGGCUAGCUUCAGCCAAAUCUGUCAGAGACAACAACUAUAGAAAAUAAGCAGCUAUGUAGAAGACAGGGACACUACUAAUGUUCCCACAGAAGAGAAAGCUACCAUAGGAAUUCCUAUCUUGCAAGAUUCCAAGAAUCCGCAUGGGCGAAGGAUAUUGCAGACGUGACUCAUAAUUUCUGCUGCUCACAGAAUGCCUGUGGUGUGUUCAGCCCUAUCAGAGCAGGUUUAGAGGACAGCAUGCUCAAGAGUUUUAUAGUUUUUUUUAAAUUUCCAUUACUGAGAGCUAGUGGAACUGGUCAGCUGCUAAAAUAAACAGCAUUUUGAAAGUAG